rnacentral:lncRNA from 1 species
UCGACUCACAGGUCGUGCCAAGCCAAAAAUCCAGCGUGCCAAGGGAAAUUUUUGCGUGCCAAUCAGCUCAUUGUGCCAUGAGUUGACUCAUGAGUCGACUCAUGCACUUCAAACCUUCAUAACUUCAAAAAUAUAAGUCCAAAAAUAAUGAAAUUUUUACCAAUAGAUUACAAAUUAUUUGUUCUACCAAAUGAUACUAUCAAAUCAGAAUUUUAGUAAAAUUAUGAUUUUGCCCCUGAAGAGCAUAAAGACUUUUUCAAUUAAAAAAAAUAUUUGUAUCCCUUCAAUCUGCUUUGUAAUCAUCAAAAUCAAUUUAGGAGCAACAGGUGCAUCCUGCCCGAAGUCAUCCAGAGGAUCGUUUGCGUCGAUCCCGAACAGCGGGUUUGGGACUCUCUAGGGUCCUUUCUCGAGGUAAAUAGAUUCACUUUCCUCCUUCCCCUCGCCCCUUCAUUCAAUUAACUUCUCAACUUUCAUUUUGACCUCCUGGCCACCCUUGCAGAUCGGGCACCAGCUCCU